GGUGGCUCAGUGGUAGAGUGCUUGCUUUGCAUGCAUGAGGCCUUGGGUUUGAGUCCUGAGCACCA
rfam:Dipodomys ordii contig_40287, whole genome shotgun sequence.